rnacentral:tRNA from 1 species
GGAUCGUUGGUCUGGGGGAAUGAUUCUCGCUUCGGGUGCGAGAAGUCCCGGGUUCAAGUCCCUGAUGAGCCU